rnacentral:rRNA from 1 species
CUAAACGUCCGUAGCCGGUCUGAUACGUUCCUGGUUAAAUCUGUCAGCUUAACUGACAGGCUGCCGGGAAUACUGCCAAACUUGGGACCGGGAGAGGUGUACGGUACUCGGAGGGAAGUGGUAAAAUGCUUUGAUCCUCAGAUGACCACCUGUGGCGAAGGCGGUCUACCAUAACGGAUCCGACGGUCAGGGACGAAAGCUGGGGGAGCAAACCGGAUUAGAUACCCGGGUAGUCCUAGGUGUAAACGCUGUGGACUUGAUGUUGGAUGUGCUCCGAGGAGGCUCAGUGCUGCAAGGAAGGUGAUAAGUUUGCCGCCUGGGAAGUACGUACGCAAGGCUGAAACUU